UAGCCGUAAACGAUACUCGCUAGGUGUCGGCCACGGUGCGACCGUUGUCGGUGCCGUAGGGAAGCCGUGAAGCGAGCCACCUGGGAAGUACGGCCGCAAGGCUGAAACUUAAAGGAAUUGGCGGGGGAGCACCACAACGGGUGGAGCUUGCGGUUUAAUUAGAUUCAACGCCGGAAAUCUUACCGGGACCGACAGCAACAUGAAGGCCAGGCUGAAGACUUUGCCGGAUUAGCUGAGAGGAGGUGCAUGGCGUAGACGUCU
rnacentral:rRNA from 1 species